GACGAACGCUGGCGGCGUGCUUAACACAUGCAAGUCGAACGGAAAGGCCCUGCUUUUGUGGGGUGCUCGAGUGGCGAACGGGUGAGUAACACGUGAGUAACCUGCCCUUGACUUUGGGAUAACUUCAGGAAACUGGGGCUAAUACCGGAUAGGAGCUCCUACUGCAUGGUGGGGGUUGGAAAGUUUCGGCGGCUGGGGAUGGACUCGCGGCUUAUCAGCUUGUUGGUGGGGUAGUGGCUUACCAAGGCUUUGACGGGUAGCCGGCCUGAGAGGGUGACCGGCCACAUUGGGACUGAGAGACGGCCCAGACUCCUACGGGAGGCAGCAGUGGGGAAUAUUGCACAAUGGGCGGAAGCCUGAUGCAGCAACGCCGCGUGCGGGAUGACGGCCUUCGGGUUGUAAACCGCUUUCGCCUGUGACGAAGCGUGAGUGACGGUAAUGGGUAAAGAAGCACCGGCUAACUACGUG
rnacentral:rRNA from 1 species